rnacentral:rRNA from 1 species
UACGUAGGCAGCGAGCGUUGUUCGGAGUUACUGGGCGUAAAGCGCGCGUAGGUGGCCAUUUAAGUCCGCUGUGAAAGUCAGAGGCUCAACCUUUGAAAGCCGGUGGAUACUGGAUGGCUAGAGUACGGAAGAGGCGAGUGGAAUUCCUGGUGUAGCGGUGGAAUGCGCAGAUAUCAGGAGGAACACCAAUAGCGAAGGCAGCUCGCUGGGACGUUACUGACACUAAGGCGCGAAAGCGUGGGGAGCGAACAGG